rnacentral:lncRNA from 1 species
UGAGAGUAGGUGUAGUUUACAUGAAGGGUUUACCCUCCCGAUGACUGCACCAGGAUAGAUGCUGGGAGCCGCGACACAUUGAAGAGGAUAAUAAUGUUAAGUUCCAUAUAACGUCUAACAGUUCACUCUUCAAGCGGCACCCUUGUUCUUCCAACCCCUUCCUGCAUUAAGAUACCUCGGCUUCCUUUGGUCCCACAACCCCAGCUUAAGUCUCUCGGCCUUCAAGGUCACAACCAACUCGACACUCCGUCCUCUGGAAUACCUGGUAACAUAAUACCUAAAGAGGGGUGGUAGAACUGCCACUUCAUAUGGUGCGUGAAUAAUAUAUACAACUGGGAUCAAGCAAACUCUUACUGCUAGUCUUGGCAGAGGCUUCCAGCUUGUUAGUAUCAAAGACAAGGGUAAAGAAGACUUCCUAAAGAGCGUUAUUGCCAGAGGUUGGAUCCAGUUCAUAUGGAGAAGCGGCAACGAGCGAGGCAGGACGACCUGGAGGUGGUCAUCCGGGCACACUUCCUCCUACACCAACUGGUCUCUCACUGGAGGGCUCGGGCGACCACAGCCAGACAACGGGGAAGGCAAAGAGGACUGUCUCGGGUACCGAAGAACAUCUAUAGCCGCACCAUGGCCCGUCACAAAGCCAGUGUAGGUGGACUAAGUGUAAAACCUGGUUGUGGCACGAUUUUUGGUCCUCGCGAGGUAUCUACGACGAAUGACGUUGACCAGACCACACUAGAAAGUGAAGGGACGACGUCGUUUCGGUCCGUCCUGGACCAUUGUCAAGUAGAUUGUGAGACUGGUAGAGACUGUGAAUCCGGUGGAUGGUAAUGCGUCUCAUCCAGUGGGCGGUUGUGAACCUCGUACACAUCCUGUGAGGAGUAGUGGACCCCCAUAAACAUUCCAAUGUUAUAUUGUUUUCUGUUGACGUUCCUACAAUCCAUUCUGUUUGUUUUUCAACGCUUACACUAUUGUAUAUAAUGUUUGGCGAACGAACCCUUAUUAUAUGUAAUAAUUUGAGUGCUUAUUAUAAUUUAC